rnacentral:rRNA from 1 species
CGUGCAGGCGGGUUGGUAAGUCAGAUGUGAAAGCCCUGGGCUCAGCCCAGGAAGUGCAUUUGAAACUGCCAUCCUUGAGUAUGGGAGAGGAGAGUGGAAUUCCCAAUGUAGAGGUGAAAUUCGUAGAUAUUGGGAGGAACACCCGUGGCGAAGGCGACUCUCUGGACCAAUACUGACGCUGAGACGCGAAAGCGUGGGGAGCAAACA